UGUUCAGCGCUGGCUCAUGUGCCUUCUAUGUGUCGCUCUGCCUGCGCUACAACAAAUUGCAAGAUGACCAAUCAUACAGCUACCCUCACCGUAUAUGCAAGGUUCGGAAUUUGCCAGCAGCGACGUCGUCGUGUCAGCGCAACGAGAUCCUCGCGCUACCCGUGCUCAGCGUCAGCUUCUGGAGAAUGGAUGCGGGUAAAUUGCCC
rnacentral:lncRNA from 1 species